AAGUUCACCCUGCCUGACCCCUGCCUUGUAUUCUGCCUGCCUUUUUGACCUUAGCCUGCCUACCGACUCUGUCUCCAGCCUCGCCCUCCUGGCAAUGGUUGCAGGACCUACCAACGAUUAUCGGUCAACAGGAGAAUCCAGGCCGUAUUUAAGAUGCCACAUUCAAAUAAAGACAAAUAUUUGAAAUGGAGCUGCUGACAGUCGCUGAGUGAUGUAUGGAGGUAUUAACAAGGCUCACCUGUGCACUGUCCAAAGUGUUGCACCGUAAUGUCCUCG